GCGCCCAUAGCUCAGUUGGUAGAGCGUCUCCCGUUUAAGGAGAGGGUUCCAGGUUCGAGUCCUGGUGGGCACA
rfam:Microgenomates (Curtissbacteria) bacterium GW2011_GWA1_40_16 TT84_C0032, whole genome shotgun sequence.